GCCAGAGAGUGGUGGAGCCACGUAGAAUCCGUUACAGAGUGUGGGGUAGGGUAGCAGCCAUUAUCGCGACUUGCCAGAGAGUUUGGAUCUGUCGGCUGAAGCUCGGCUGGGAUGUUUGAUGGAGUGGAAUGGCUCUCUAUCUCAUCGAUCUAGGAGAAGCUCGGAUAUUUUUGAGGUUGUGACAGGUCUACUAUUGUUGGGUGCCUAGAGCA
rnacentral:lncRNA from 1 species